AAAGAAUAUAAUUCGUAGCCGAAGAUAGUAGGUGCUAUUAAAGCUUAAAUUUAUAGCCUGCCGAGGCCGGUAAUAAAUCUAAGUUUACGUUUAAGUUUAUGGUUUAAGCUAAGCUUAAUUUUAGUCUUAAACUUAGUAUUUUAUUAUUACCCCUUGGUUAUUAGAGUCUCCGGCUACGGCGGAGACUCUUUUUAGUUUCUUGU
rfam:Halobacteroides halobius DSM 5150, complete genome.